rnacentral:rRNA from 1 species
GAGAAGCACUUUGGAAAGAGAGUCAAACAGCACGUGAAAUUGUUGAAAGGGAAGCGCUUGCAGCCAGACUUGCUUGCAGUUGCUCAUCCGGGCUUUUGCCCGGUGCACUCUUCUGCAGGCAGGCCAGCAUCAGUUUGGGCGGUGGGAUAAAGGUCUCUGUCACGUACCUUCCUUCGGGUUGGCCUUAUAGGGGAGACGCCAUACCACCAGCCUGGACUGAGGUCCGCGCAUCUGCUAGGAUGCUGGCGUAAUGGCUGUAAGCGGCCCGUCUUGAAACACGGACCAAGA